rnacentral:rRNA from 1 species
GACGAACGCUGGCGGCGUGCUUAACACAUGCAAGUCGAACGGAAAGGCCCUGCUUUUGUGGGGUGCUCGAGUGGCGAACGGGUGAGUAACACGUGAGUAACCUGCCCUUGACUUUGGGAUAACUUCAGGCAACUGGGGCUAAUACCGGAUAGGAGCUCCCGCUGCAUGGUGGGGGUUGGAUAGUUUCGGCGGUUGGGAUUGGACUCGCGGCUUAUCAGCUUGUUGGUGGGGUAGUGGCUUACCAAGGCUUUGACGGGUAGCAGGCCUGAGCGGGUGACCGGCCACACUGGGACUGGAAUACGGCACAGACUCCUACGGGAGGCAGCAGUGGGGAAUAUUGUACAAUGGGCGGAAGCCUGAUGCAGCAACGCAGCGUGCGGGAUGACGGCCUGCGGGUUGUAAACCGAUUUCGCCUGUGCCGAAGCGUGAAUGACGGUAAUGGGUAAAGAAGCACCGGCUAACUACGUG